rnacentral:rRNA from 1 species
GAUUCGUCACACUAUCAUUAACUGAAUCCAUAGGUUAAUGAGGCGAACCGGGGGAACUGAAACAUCUAAGUACCCCGAGGAAAAGAAAUCAACCGAGAUUCCCCCAGUAGCGGCGAGCGAACGGGGAGGAGCCCAGAGCCUGAAUCAGCAUGUGUGUUAGUGGAAGCGUCUGGAAAGGCGCGCGAUACAGGGUGACAGCCCCGUACACAAAAGCGCAUGUGCUGUGAGCUCGAUGAGUAGGGCGGGACACGUGGUAUCCUGUCUGAAUAUGGGGGGACCAUCCUCCAAGGCUAAAUACUCCUGACUGACCGAUAGUGAACCAGUACCGUGAGGGAAAGGCGAAAAGAACCCCGGCGAGGGGAGUGAAAAAGAACCUGAAACCGUGUACGUACAAGCAGUGGGAGCACCCUUCGGGGUGUG